rnacentral:tRNA from 1 species
GGGAAUGUGGCUUAGUGGUAGAGUGCUUGCCUAGGAUGCAUGAAGUCCUGGGUUCGAUUCCUCAGUACCA